rnacentral:tRNA from 1 species
GGUCCCAUAGCUCAGUUGGUUAGAGCGUCGUGCUAAUAACGCGAAGGCCGCGAGUUCGACCCUCGUUGGGACCA